rnacentral:rRNA from 1 species
AUGUAUGAUAUUAUUUUUUUUGAUAUAAUAAAUAUCAAAAUAAGUAUAUAAAGAGAUUAUUACGGAUAUCUGGCUAUAUAUUAAAGAUAGAUAUGAAAAAUUAAUAUCUAAUAUAAAUAUAAUAAUAAACAAAGUGAAUUGAAAUAUCUUAAUAACUUUAGGAAAAGAAAUCAAACGAGAUUUUAUUAUUAGUGUAUACUAAUAUAAAAAAGCUUAUAAGUAAAAUGGAAAAUAUCUGUUUGAAUAAAGGGGAACCUUCCUCUAAAGCUAAAUAUAAUAUAUAAGCGAUAGCGAAUAGUACCGUGAGGUAUAGAUAGAAAUAGUAAUUUUAUAAGCAGCUCAAAAAAAAUUUUAAAUAAAUAAUACGAGCGGACCUUUUGCAUAAUGGGUCAGCAAGUUAAACUUAGAUGCAAGCAAAUAAAAAUUAUUUGCCUAGAUAAACCAAUUAUGAGAAAAUGAUAAGUAUCUAAAUUUAGACCCGAAGGCUAGUGAUCUUACCAUGAUCAGGCUUAAGGCCGAACGGGUUAUCGUUGUAGAGAUAUCCGAUGAAUUGUGGUAAGUUGGUGAAAGACAAAACUGACUAGUAUAGCUGGUUUUCCGCGAAACCUAUGUGAGUAGGUAAUUUAAUUAACAUCUUAGCAGGUACAGAACUAGGAUCUCGGACAAUAUGUAAAUUUUGUACACAUCGGGGGAUCGUGAAGAUUUUAUCGGAGAGUAUUUGCACUCGAAAGGGCAAAGAUGAGUAUUGAAUAAUCGGACAUAGUACGAUAAGGUUGUAUGUCUAAAGGGAAACAGCCCUGAACAAGAGUUAUAAGGUUCCAAAAUUAUUAUUGAGUGAAAUUAAGGAUGUACUUAUCAAAUACAACCAGGAAAUAGGCUUAGAAGCGGCCAUUUUUUGAAGACCUCGUAACAGAGCACUGGUUAAUAAAAUUUUAUUUAGAUAGAUAUGUAUACCGAAAAUUUAACGGAUCUAAAUAAUAUACCGAAACCUUGUUCGUAUAUAUUAAUAUAUAAUAUUAUUUGUUUAAAUAUAUAUAUAUAUAUAUGAGGUAGCGGAACACUGGAUAAAUAUUAGAUUUUGUCUUUUUUAAGACAAAAAAUUAUAUAAGAAUCCAAGAGAGAAUGCUGGCAUGAGUAACGAAAAAGGAUUUAACAUCCUCGCCUUAAGCUUAUGGUAUUUUAUUUAAAUUUCGGUAUCUAAGUAGGAAGUAAAAUAAGUAAAAUGGUAAAUUGUUUGAAAAAAAACUUCUCCAAAUGGAUUCAAAUACGAUGAUAUAAAUAGAUUAGAGAAAAAACUUUUAUAAAGUGUUAAAGGUUCUGGAAAUUAAAUUUAAUCAAAUAAGCAAUUUUAAUUGCUCGGCGAAAUCCGAAACUAUCUAGACCGUACCUAAAUACUAACACAAGUAAGCAAGUAGAGUAUACAAAGGCGUUUGAGUGAAUAAUCAUUAAGGAACUCGGCAAAUUGACUCCGUAACUUCGGGAUAAGGAGGGCCGUUAUUACAGAAAAAUAUUUCUGUUAAAUAAGAGGAAACAUGAAAUAAUGUUGUACGACUGUUUAAUUAAAACAAAUCACUCUGCAAAGAUUAAAAAUCAAAGUAUUGAGUGUGAUGUCUGCCCAAUGUCGGUUGUAUAACUGAGAUACUUAAUUUAAAAGGUUAGGUUUUGAAGGACACUCCGAUCAAUGGCGGCCUUAUCUAUAAGGGUCCUAAGGUAGCGGAAUACCCUGGCCGUUAAAUGCGGUCUUGCAUGAAUGACUUAACGAUACAACAGCUGUCUCGAUGAUUAGCUCAGUGAAAUUGGAAUAGCGGUGCAGAUACCGUUUAACUCUAGGUAGACGAGAGUGCGACUAGUUAAGUGCUUAAUAACAAUGUGGUGAAAACCCACCAGAUAACCCAUUAUCUGAGCUCAGACGGUAUGCAUUAGAAGUAAUUCUUUUGUGUAAAGCCCGUUUAAUUUGGUCAACAAACCUUCCAUCCUUAUAUAAGGAUGGUGAGCUAUAUUACUAUGGAUAAAAUUUUUUUGAAUUCACGUCCGAAGCGUAUUAGAGUAGAAUAUCUUUAGUAAGAAAAAAGUAAAAAGAAUUGUAAUUAACUGUAUAAACAAUUUUUCGUUUGUUUAUUAAUGGGUCUUAUGUUAAACAGGCUAAUUUGCGCAAGAGAGUACAAAUUGAGUGCGCGGUUUGGCACCUCGAUGUCGGCUUAGCUCAUCCACAUGAAUGUAGAAAUCAUGAAGGGUACGACUGUUCGUCGGUUAAAGAGCUACACGAGCUGGGUUUAAUACGUCGUGAGACAGUAUGGUUUCUAUCUUCUAGAGGUAAUUAGAGUCUAAUAUAGAUAGCCCCUUCGUACGAAAGGAGUUGGGUAUGCUGAUCUAUGGUUUACCUGUUGUUUAAUAUUGAUAUUAUGUAUCUUAUACUAUUUUCACUUAAGUAGUAUUGUUUAUUAAGCAUGGCAGGAAAGCUAAGUCAGUUAGAGAUAAGUGCUGAAUGCAUUUAAGCGCGAAGCUUACUAUACUAUACUCUUAUAAACGUAGUAGAACACUACGAAUAAUUUUUUCAUAGGCUUUAGUUGUAAGAAUCUUAAUUGUUUUAAGGCAUAAAGUACUAAUUUUAUAAAAUACUAAUUAUAGCUCAUAUUAAGCCUGGUUAGCAUAAAAGU